rnacentral:lncRNA from 1 species
AAGGGCAUUAAAGCUUUUCAAUGCCCAAAAGCAGAGGAAAGGAAGAAAGAUGUAUUCGUGGUCAGUAAUUAAGGUAUGUAAUUGUAUGCAACUUGAUUCAUAAAAGUGGAUAUAUAAAAANUUAAUCUGUAGUACUUUCAUUCGAAUGUAGGUUCCUAAACAACCAGACAACUUUCAAUGUGGUUUCUAUGUAAUGAAAUACAUGAAGGAAAUAGUUGAGUGUGAUGGUUCUCAGACGAUUGGCUCGUUGCAUUCAUUGGUAUUGUUUUCAAUAAAAUUUAUUAAGUAUUUGGUGGUUGACUAUCACAUUGUAAUACAUAUUUUUUACUCACAGUUCGAUAAACCAAGUUACUCCAAAGAGGACAUUGAUGACGUGCGUAAAGAAUGGGCGGACUGUGUACAAGAUCAUAUACUUGAGUAAAGAGGUAAUGAAUGAUCUUUAUAAUUUUGCAAUACGUCGUGCAUGUGUUGCUACAUAUAUUUCUACAUUUCUUAUAUCAAAUUAUUAUAAUUUAUGUGUUCUACUUAUUAUUGAUAUUAGGUUAUAUAUGAUAUGGUGCGUUAUUGAUUCUAUGUAUUCAUUGAUUCUAUGUGUAGCUAUAUAUUUUUUUGCUACGUGAAGUAAUGCAUUUUUUCUUUAUUUUUGUCCAUUUAUUUUAUGCAGGUAUGACGUUGCUAGUUUGGAUGCAAAGUGGAAAAAUGUCAUAUACACUUGAAAGUUUUAGUUGACGCUUAGUGAAGAACAUUGCUUAGUUGCAUAUUUUGGUUGGUAGAAUUAUGUUUAAAGUACAAUGCAAAAAAUUCUAGUCCGUUGAACUAAUUCCCGUUUCUAGAUUAUUGUAAUGACUCUUGAAUAUUAAACUUUAUUUAAAUUUAUGUGUUUUGAUUUGUGUUUAUUAUUUAUGAAAUUAGUUGGAUAUUAAAUAAUUAGAU